rnacentral:lncRNA from 1 species
UCAACCUCUUGUCUUGCGUGCAAAGCAUGACAAAAUGUUUGGUCUGGCCCAGCCCAUCAAAAUACGCCUCUAGGCAGAAGACCAGAAAAUAGAAAGCUAGCAAUCCUUAAGUCAAUCCAUUUAGAUAUAAGCAUACUAUAACUUUUAAUCUAAUUUUGGCAUACAAUUUAUAGAUGAGGUUAUAUUUUCCAUUUUUGUCCAGAAAACGAAUUCUUUUAAGCCA